rnacentral:rRNA from 1 species
GCGGCGUGCUUAACACAUGCAAGUCGAACGGAAAGGCCCUGCUUUUGUGGGGUGCUCGAGUGGCGAACGGGUGAGUAACACGUGAGUAACCUGCCCUUGACUUUGGGAUAACUUCAGGAAACUGGGGCUAAUACCGGAUAGGAGCUCCUGCUGCAUGGUGGGGGUUGGAAAGUUUCGGCGGUUGGGGAUGGACUCGCGGCUUAUCAGCUUGUUGGUGGGGUAGUGGCUUACCAAGGCUUUGACGGGUAGCCGGCCUGAGAGGGUGACCGGCCACAUUGGGACUGAGAUACGGCCCAGACUCCUACGGGAGGCAGCAGUGGGGAAUAUUGCACAAUGGGCGGAAGCCUGAUGCAGCAACGCCGCGUGCGGGAUGACGGCCUUCGGGUUGUAAACCGCUUUCGCCUGUGACGAAGCGUGAGUGACGGUAAUGGGUAAAGAAGCACCGGCUAACUACGUGCCAGCAGCCGCGGUGAUACGUAGGGUGCGAGCGUUGUCCGGAUUUAUUGGGCGUAAAGGGCUCGUAGGUGGUUGAUCGCGUCGGAAGUGUAAUCUUGGGGCUUAACCCUGAGCGUGCUUUCGAUACGGGUUGACUUGAGGAAGGUAGGGGAGAAUGGAAUUCCUGGUGGAGCGGUGGAAUGCGCAGAUAUCAGGAGGAACACCAGUGGCGAAGGCGGUUCUCUGGGCCUUUCCUGACGCUGAGGAGCGAAAGCGUGGGGAGCGAACAGGCUUAGAUACCCUGGUAGUCCACGCUGUAAACGGUGGGUACUAGGUGUGGGGUCCAUUCCACGGGUUCCGUGCCGUAGCUAACGCUUUAAGUACCCCGCCUGGGGAGUACGGCCGCAAGGCUAAAACUCAAAGAAAUGGACGGGGCCCCCGCACAAGCGGCGGAGCAUGCGGAUUAAUUCGAUGCAACGCGUAGAACCUUACCUGGGUUUGACAUGGAUCGGGAGUGCUCAGAGAUGGGUGUGCCUCUUUUGGGGUCGGUUCACAGGUGGUGCAUGGCUGUCGUCAGCUCGUGUCGUGAGAUGUUGGGUUAAGUCCCGCAACGAGCGCAACCCUUGUUCACUGUUGCCAGCACGUUAUGGUGGGGACUCAGUGGAGACCGCCGGGGUCAACUCGGAGGAAGGUGGGGAUGACGUCAAGUCAUCAUGCCCCUUAUGUCCAGGGCUUCACGCAUGCUACAAUGGCUGGUACAGAGAGUGGCGAGCCUGUGAGGGUGAGCGAAUCUCGGAAAGCCGGUCUCAGUUCGGAUUGGGGUCUGCAACUCGACCUCAUGAAGUCGGAGUCGCUAGUAAUCGCAGAUCAGCAACGCUGCGGUGAAUACGUUCCCGGGGCUUGUACACACCGCCCGUCAAGUCAUGAAAGUUGGUAACACCCGAAGCCGGUGGCCUAACCGUUGUGGGGGAGCCGUCGAAGGUGGGACUGGUGAUUAGG